AACGAACGCUGGCGGCAUGCCUAACACAUGCAAGUCGAACGAAGGCUUCGGCCUUAGUGGCGCACGGGUGCGUAACGCGUGGGAAUCUGCCCUUAGGUUCGGAAUAACAGUUAGAAAUGACUGCUAAUACCGGAUGAUGACGUAAGUCCAAAGAUUUAUCGCCUGAGGAUGAGCCCGCGUAGGAUUAGCUAGUUGGUGUGGUAAAGGCGCACCAAGGCGACGAUCCUUAGCUGGUCUGAGAGGAUGAUCAGCCACACUGGGACUGAGACACGGCCCAGGCUCCUACGGGAGGCAGCAGUGGGGAAUAUUGGACAAUGGGCGCAAGCCUGAUCCAGCAAUGCCGCGUGAGUGAUGAAGGCCUUAGGGUUGUAAAGCUCUUUUACCCGUGAUGAUAAUGACAGUAGCGGGAGAAUAAGCCCCGGCUAACUCCGUG
rnacentral:rRNA from 1 species